rnacentral:lncRNA from 1 species
CAGGAAAUGACAUCUUUGUUUUCAUGGGGGAGACAAGGCCCUCCCUUGGUGAUGACCACCCCACAGAGCUGUUGAGAGCCAUGGUAGUGGGAGUCAUCCAGAGCAGAGGGGAAAUGGAAUCAGGGAGCAGCUUUUAAGGCCCCACAACCAAGGAAGCAAUGACCUGGCUGCAGUCACCUGAGUCAUGAGGUUCUAAAGAACAGAACGGCAUUUGCUCAAGGGACUGAAGAGAAAGGGGAUUUCCUUCAUGUCUAACUCUUGAAUCAGCUAGUGUUUGCUCAAGAUGACGUAUGAGACAUGCACAGUUGUGUAGGCAAAAAGGAAACAAAAUCAAACAAUGACAUUGUCAAACAAGAACAAGUGUACGAAGGGAAAUUCAUUGGUUUAGGUAAUUAAAACAUCCAGGUGUGCUCAGC